rnacentral:rRNA from 1 species
UACGGAGGGUGCUAGCGUUGUUCGGAAUUACUGGGCGUAAAGGGCGCGUAGGCGGCCGUUUGCGUCGGAUGUGAAAGCCCGGGGCUCAACCUCGGAACGGCAUUCGAUACGGGACGGCUGGAGACCGGGAGAGGAGAGUGGAAUAGCCAGUGUAGAGGUGAAAUUCGUAGAUAUUGGCUGGAACACCGGUGGCGAAGGCGGGUCUCUGGGCCGUAACUGACGCUGAGGAGCGAAAGCGUGGGGAGCGAACAGG